UCCUACGGGAGGCAGCAGUGGGGAAUAUUGCACAAUGGGCGCAAGCCUGAUGCAGCCAUGCCGCGUGUGUGAAGAAGGCCUUCGGGUUGUAAAGCACUUUCAGCGAGGAGGAAGGUGGUGAACUUAAUACGUUCAUCAAUUGACGUUACUCGCAGAAGAAGCACCGGCUAACUCCGUGCCAGCAGCCGCGGUAAU
rnacentral:rRNA from 1 species